AGAGUUUGAUCCUGGCUCAGGAUAAACGCUAGCGGCAGGCCUAACACAUGCAAGUCGAGGGGCAGCACGGUGUAGCAAUACACUGGUGGCGACCGGCGCACGGGUGCGUAACGCGUAUGCAACCUACCUUUAACAGGGGGAUAACACUGAGAAAUUGGUACUAAUACCCCAUAAUAUCAUAGAAGGCAUCUUUUAUGGUUGAAAAUUCCGAUGGUUAGAGAUGGGCAUGCGUUGUAUUAGCUAGUUGGUGGGGUAACGGCUCACCAAGGCGACGAUACAUAGGGGGACUGAGAGGUUAACCCCCCACACUGGUACUGAGACACGGACCAGACUCCUACGGGAGGCAGCAGUGAGGAAUAUUGGUCAAUGGACGCAAGUCUGAACCAGCCAUGCCGCGUGCAGGAUGACGGCUCUAUGAGUUGUAAACUGCUUUUGUACGAGGGUAAACGCAGAUACGUGUAUCUGUCUGAAAGUAUCGUACGAAUAAGGAUCGGCUAACUCCGUGCCAGCAGCCGCGGUAAUACGGAGGAUCCAAGCGUUAUCCGGAUUUAUUGGGUUUAAAGGGUGCGUAGGCGGUUUGAUAAGUUAGAGGUGAAAUUUCGGGGCUCAACCCUGAACGUGCCUCUAAUACUGUUGAGCUAGAGAGUAGUUGCGGUAGGCGGAAUGUAUGGUGUAGCGGUGAAAUGCUUAGAGAUCAUACAGAACACCGAUUGCGAAGGCAGCUUACCAAACUAUAUCUGACGUUGAGGCACGAAAGCGUGGGGAGCAAACAGGAUUAGAUACCCUGGUAGUCCACGCAGUAAACGAUGAUAACUCGUUGUCGGCGAUACACAGUCGGUGACUAAGCGAAAGCGAUAAGUUAUCCACCUGGGGAGUACGUUCGCAAGAAUGAAACUCAAAGGAAUUGACGGGGGCCCGCACAAGCGGAGGAACAUGUG
rnacentral:rRNA from 1 species